rnacentral:tRNA from 1 species
CGGGCUGUAGCUCAGCUUGGCUAGAGCGCUUGAAUGGGGUUCAAGAGGUCGCUGGUUCGAAUCCAGUCAGCCCGACCA